rnacentral:rRNA from 1 species
GACAGAGGGUGCAAACGUUGCUCGGAAUCACUGGGCGUAAAGGGCGUGUAGGCGGGAAGGAAAGUCGGGCGUGAAAUCCCUGGGCUCAACCCAGGAAUUGCACUCGAAACUUCUUUUCUUGAGUGCCGGAGAGGAAAGCGGAAUUCCCGGUGUAGCGGUGAAAUGCGCAGAUAUCGGGAAGGAACACCAAUGGCGAAGGCAGCUCGCUGGGACGGUACUGACGCUGAG